rnacentral:misc_RNA from 1 species
UUUCCGUAGGUGAACCUGCGGAAGGAUCAUUAUUGAAACUUCAUCCGGGGCGCCGCGGCCCUCAGCACCGGUGGAAACGCCGUGUUGCGGGGACCGCGCGUGCACUCGUCCAAACCAAACCCCUGUGAACCUUACGGGAUGGCCUGGGUUAGCGCCCGGUGCCGUUCCGCUUUAUACAAACACUUAUCAAAGAAUGAACUGAAGGCGGUCUGACCGCUGGAUAACAAAACUAAAACAACUUUCAACAACGGAUCUCUUGGCUCUC